rnacentral:rRNA from 1 species
UACAGAGGGGGCAAGCGUUGUUCGGAAUUACUGGGCGUAAAGGGCGCGUAGGUGGCCAACUAAGUCAGACGUGAAAUCCCUCAGCUUAACUGGGGAACUGCGUCUGAUACUGGAUGGCUUGAGUUUGGGAGAGGGAUGCGGAAUUCCAGGUGUAGCGGUGAAAUGCGUAGAUAUCUGGAGGAACACCGGUGGCGAAGGCGGCAUCCUGGACCAACACUGACACUGAGGAGCGAAAGCCAGGGGAGCAAACGGG